AUGCUGCUCCCGCACCGGAGACCCAGCCACCGUCUUCUCCGGCAGCAGCCGACCCCGCCCCCGCCCCCAUCCCAAACGCCGCCGCCGCCCCGUCGCCGCGUCCCUCCUGCGGAGGCUCCGCCACCACCUCGCCGCCGCGCCCCUCCCCUCGACCCGUCGGCCUACGCGGGCCUCCUCCGGGCCGCGUCGAGGGGGCGGUCGCUGACGCUGGCCAGGCUGACCCACUCCCACAUGCUCCGCGCCGGCUUCCAUCCGGGCCUCUUCCUCCGCAACAACCUCCUCGCCGCGUACUGCCGCGGCGGCGACAUGCGCCAUGCCCGCCUCCUGUUCGACGGAAUGCCGCGCCGGGACGCCGUGUCCUGGAACACCCUCAUCGCGGGCUACUCCAGCCAGGGCGGGGCCGGCGCGCGCCUCUCGCUCGCCGCCUUCCGGGACGCGCGGGCCGGCGGCGUCCGGGCGGACAGGUUCACCUACGCCGCGGUGCUGGCGGCGUGCGGCAGGGCCGGGGACUGGAGGCAUGGCCGGGCGGCGCACGGGCUGGCCGUGGUGAGUGGGCUUGCGCAAGACGUGUUCCUGACCAACUCCGUCAUCGACAUGUACGCCAAGUGCAGGAUGAUCGACGAGGUGAGGCUGGUGUUCGACCGGGCUGAGGAGUGGGACGAGGCGUCGUGGAACCUGCUGCUGUCGGCAUACGUGCGCAUGGGGUGGCCGGAGGUGGCCGUGCACGUGCUCGUCUGGAUGCACCGGUCAGGGGUCAAGCUUGAUAGCUUUGCCUUGGGUGGGAUCCUCAAGGCUUGCUCCGAGCUCCAGGGCUCCGAGGAUGUCCGGAGGAUGCUGCAUGGCUGCGUGGUUAAGGUUGGUUUGGACUUGGAUAUGUUCGUUGGGAGUGCCAUGGUGGACAUGUAUGCCAAGAACGGUGGACUUGAGGAGGCGAUCAAGGUGUUUGACUGCAUCCCGAAUCAGAAUGCGGUGGUCUACGGUGCCAUGAUCGCGGGGUUCGCUCGCUUAGGUAAUGACCCUUGCCCUGAGAUUAGAAUCGAAGCUGUCAGGCUUUUCUCAGACUUGCUCCGGAUGAGUGUAAAACCGUCCAGGUUUACUUUCAAGAGUGUGCUCGAAGUCUGCAAUUUGACCAAUGCGGUGCACUGUGGGAGGUUGAUACACGCUCAUGUUAUAUUCAAUGGGUUUCAGGAUGACGAGUUCAUAGCAAAUGCGCUGAUCAACUUGUACUCCAAAGCACGGUCAGUAAGUGACAGUCUGAGAUGCUUCCAGAUGACUCCCAGGCAAGAUGUCGUCACAUGGACAUCCAUGAUUACAGCAUUCGCGCAUGAUGAGAAUUUCGAGAAGGCACUAGGCCUGUUCCUAGAGUUUCUUUCUGUUGGAAAAGAGCCAGACCAGUUCACCUUAUCGAGUGUGAUGAAUGCCUGUGCUGCUCUGAGUCUACCAGCAACCUGUAAGCAGAUACACUGUUAUACGGUCAAAUCUGGACUCGGUCAGUUCACUGUGUGCGGCAAUUCUCAGAUUUCUAUGUAUAGGAAUAUAGGUGAUAUUACAUGUCUGGAUAUAUUCUCAUGGUCUGCAAUGAUUUUGAGCUACGCAGUCCAUGGCCAUGAAGGCGAGGCUCUAGUGCUCCUGGAGAAGAUGAAGGAUUGUGGUGUCGUGAUAAAUGAUAAUGCUUUGUUUGCCGUUCUCAUUGCUUGCAGCCAGCAGGGGCUGGCAGAGGAAGGUUUCAGACAUUAUGAGAGCAUGCUAUCAGAUUAUGGCUGUUCCCCAAAUACGAAGCACAAAGCUUGCGUAGUUGAACUCCUUGGCCGUGUUGGCAAGAUGGCUGAGGCUGAAGAUUUCAUAAUGGGGUCUGGAUCAGAAAAUGACCCAAUACUUUGGCAUGCACUGUUGCGGGCAUGCAGAAUCCAUGGGGACAAAGAGAGAGGUAUAAAAACCGGAGAGAAAUUAAUGGAACUCGAGCCCUUCGCUGUUACUUCAUAUGUGGUGCUGUACAACCUCUACAUGGAUGCCGGCAAAAUCUCAUUGGCUAUGAAGACUAGAGGCCUGAUGAGAGAGCGAGGCAUGAGUAAGGAAGCCGGGAUUAGUUGGGCCGAGUUUGGGGGAUCCAUCCAUCAUUUUACUGAUGGAAAUAACUCCUGCCGACACAAUAAUGCAGUUCAUGCCAGAUUAGAAGAGAUGCUGGUCAGUGUGAAACAGAAGACCGAGCGUGGUGGAACGGACAUUUGGGAAUUAGGAUUCCAGAUUAGAAAGGAUGGCGAGACCUCACUUUCCAGACAUGGUGAACUGCUGGCGGUGGCUCUUGGGCUGUCCACUUUGCCAUCUGCUGCUCCUGUAACAGUUAUGAAGAACCAGAGGAUAUCCUGGGAAAGCCAUGAAACACUGAAGUUGCUAUCAGCAAGGGAAAACAGGGGAAUAAUUAUCAGAGAUCCGACCCAUUUUCAUCGUUUUGAUCAAGGUUCGUGCUCUUGCAGAGACUACUGGUAG
rnacentral:rRNA from 1 species